ensembl:lncRNA
GGAGAGAGUCAACAGUCAUGUCUCUGGUUCUUAUACUAGGUAGAGGAGAGAGUCAACACGUUAACAGUCCUGUCUCUGGUUCUUAUACUAGGUAGAGGAUUUUUAUUUUAUUUAAACCUUUAUUUAAACUAGGCAAGUCAGUUAAGAACAAAUUCUUAUUUACAAUGACGGCCUUGCCCCCCCGUGCCAAACCAGGACGACGCUGGGCCAAUUGCGCGCCACCCUAGGGGACACCCAAUCACAGCCGUGAUGUGUGAUAUUAAAGACCAAUGUGAAGGGAAGCCGAGUGACGGAAACCAACAGAUUGAUCGGUACGAACGAAGGUCACAAGGAAGUGAAAACCUGUCAGUGAAAGCUGAGUUUUUUUUUUUGCCUCAACAGAAAGGAUUCCUUAGCUUUCAAUGUUCAAGAGAAUUUGUCCCAUAAUGCACUGCAGCGUUUUAAAUGCUAAAGAAUGGGACGUGUAGCUGCUCAGUGGAAAGGAAAUGAAAAGAUGUGCCAAGUGUGGAGGAACACGUGGUUACAGUGAAUGAGGAAGCAUGGGAAGGUUAAGUGCUGUAAUUGUGGGGGAAGAACACAAUGCAGUAUUUGGUGGAUGCCAGGUACAGAGAGAGGCUUGAGAGGCUCACAGAGGAUAGAGGGGCUCAGAGAGGAUAGAGGGGCUCAGAGAGGAUAGAGGGGCUCAGAGAGGAUAGAGGGGACUCAGAGAGGAUAGAGGGACUCAGAGAGGAUAGAGGGGCUCAGAGAGGAUAGAGGGGCUCAGAGAGGAUAGAGGGGCUCAGAGAGGAUAGAGGGGCUCAGAGAGGAUAGAGGGGCUCAGAGAGGAUAGAGGGUCUCAGAGAGGAUAGAGGGGCUCAGAGAGGAUAGAGGGGCUCAGAGAGGAUAGAGGGACUCAGAGAGGAUAGAGGGACUCAGAGAGGAUAGAGGGACUCAGAGAGGAUAGAGGGACUCAGAGAGGAUAGAGGGACUCAGAGAGGAUAGAGGGACUCAGAGAGGAUAGAGAGGCUCAGAGGAUAGAGGGACUCAGAGAGGAUAGAGGGACUCAGAGAGGAUAGAGAGGCUCAGAGAGGCUAGAGGGACUCAGAGAGGCUAGAGGGACUCAGAGAGGAUAGAGGGACUCAGAGAGGAUAGAGGGACUCAGAGAGGAUAGAGGCUCAGAGAGGAUAGAGAGGCUCAGAGAGGCUAGAGGGACUCAGAGAGGCUAGAGGGACUCAGAAUUUUAUUUUAUUUAAACCUUUAUUUGAACUAGGCAAGUCAGUUAAGAACACAUUCACCGUCAUUGUAAAUAAGAAUUUGUUCUUAACUGACUUGCCUAGUUCAAAUAAAGGUUUAAAUAAAAUAAAAUUCCUCGACCUAGUAUAAGAACCAGAGACAUGACUGUCAGAGACGUCCCGUGAGAGAGAGAGACAGGUUGAGGUUUCCAGGAUCAGAGACGUCCCGUGAGAGAGAGAGACAGGUUGAGGUUUCCAGGGUCAGAGACGUCCCGUGUGAGAGAGAGAGAGAGACAGGUUGAGGUUUCCAGGGUCAGAGACGUCCCGUGUGAGAGAGAGAGAGAGAGAGACAGGUUGAGGUUUCCAGGGUCAGAGACGUCCCGUGAGAGAGAGAGAGAGAGAGAGAGACAGGUUGAGGUUUCCAGGAUCAGAGACGUCCCGUGUGAGAGAGAGAGAGAGAGGCAGGUUGAGGUUUCCAGGGUCAGAGACGUCCCGUGUGAGAGAGAGACAGAUUGAGGUUUCCAGGGUCAGAGACGUCCCGUGUGAGAGAGAGACAGGUUGAGGUUUCCAGGAUCAGAGACGUCCCGUGUGAGAGAGAGAGAGAGAGAGAGAGAGAGACAGGUUGAGGUUUCCAGGAUCAGAGACGUCCCGUGAGAGAGAGAGAGAGAGAGAGAGAGAGACAGGUUGAGGUUUCCAGGAUCAGAGACGUCCCGUGUGAGAGAGAGACAGGUUGAGGUUUCCAGGGUCAGAGACGUCCCGUGUGAGAGAGAGAGACAGGUUGAGGUUUCCAGGAUCAGAGACGUCCCGUGUGAGAGAGAGAGACAGGUUGAGGUUUCCAGGAUCAGAGACGUCCCGUGUGAGAGAGAGACAGGUUGAGGUUUCCAGGAUCAGAGACGUCCCGUGAGAGAGAGAGAGACAGGUUGAGGUUUCCAGGAUCAGAGACGUCCCGUGUGAGAGAGAGAGACAGGUUGAGGUUUCCAGGAUCAGAGACGUCCCGUGAGAGAGAGAGAGACAGGUUGAGGUUUCCAGGAUCAGAGACGUCCCGUGUGAGAGAGAGAGACAGGUUGAGGUUUCCAGGGUCAGAGACGUCCCGUGUGAGAGAGAGAGACAGGUUGAGGUUUCCAGGGUCAGAGACGUCCCGUGUGAGAGAGAGACAGGUUGAGGUUUCCAGGAUCAGAGACGUCCCAAAGUUGUCAUAUGUUGAGGCAGUGGAGAAAGUAGAGGAAGAUGGGUCAAGAGAAGUAGAUCUGUACCAGUACAGAGGGAUAAACCAACAAGUGAUAUAUAUAUAUAUAUGUUUCAGUAAGAUUGGACUUUUAUAAUGUAUACUUAUUCUCCACCAUAAUUUGCAAAUAAAUUCAUUAAAAAUCCUACAAUGUGAUUUUCUGGAUUUUUUUUCUCAUUUUGUCUGUCAUAGUUGAAGUGUACCGAUGAUGAAAAUUACAGGCCUCUCCCAUCUUUUUAAGUGGGAGAACUUGCACAAUUGGUGGCUGACUAAAUACUUUUUUGCCCCACUGUAUAUAUAUAUAUAUAUAUAUAGCUAUAAAUAGAUGGAUAGAUAUUUAUAGCUCUAUCUAUCUAUAUAUAUAUAUCUAUAUAUAUAUCUAUAUAUCUAUAUAUAUAUAUAUAUAGCUAUCAACUGUACUGCAGGGAGGGAUCGUAAGUCACAGAGAAUAGAGGUUCUGGUGGCAGCUGCAGAGAGGUACUUGGGAGGACGAGAUUUGACGUCAGGAGAUGGGAGAGGCCUGUGUGUUGAGCGGUGGUGGUGUCCUGUCUUUUCAGGCUGUUGGCCUGAGGUACGACUAGAUGGUUAUAAAUAGUGGAGUAGGGUGGGGGGGUUUAGUGUAGGGUUAGAUGGUAGGGUAUUUAAAUAGUGGAUUAGAGUGGUGGGUUGUUAAUGAGUGUAGAGUUAGAUGGUAGAUGUUAGGGUAUAUAAAUAGUGGAGUAGGGUGGGGGGUUGUUAAUGAGUGUAGAGUUAGAUGGUAGAUUGUAGGGUAUUUAAAUAGUGGAGUAGGGUGGGGGUGUUUAGUGUAGGGUUAGAUGGUAGGGUAUUUAAAUAGUGGAGUA